CUCCUGCAGGUUUGUUAUGUAGGUGAAUUGUGUCACGGGGAUUUGGCCUGCAGGUUGUUUUGUCACUGAGGUACUAAGCAUAGCACCAAACAGGUAUUUAUUUGAUCCUUUCUGUCUUUUCAGCCUUCACCCUAGAGCAGGCCUCAGUGAUUAUUGUUCCACUUUUUGUGUCCAUGUGUUAUUAUUUAGCUCUUUUUUUUUUUUUUUUUUAGGAACGGGGUCUUGCUAUGUUGCCCAGGCUGGAGUGCAGUGGUUAUUCACAGGCGCGAUCCCACUACUGAUCAGCAUGGGAGUUUUGACCUGCUCCGUUUCCGACCUGGGCCGGUUCACGCCUCCUUAGGCAACCUGGUGGUCCCUGCUCCCUGGAGGUCACCAUAUUGAUGCCGAACUUAGUGCAGACACCGGAUCAGCAUAGUGCACCACAGCCCAGAACUCCUGGGCUCAAGAGAUUCUCCCACCUCAGCCUCCCGAGUAGCUGGGACUGCAGGCACGCACCACCGCACCCGGCUUAUUGAGCUCGCUCUUAGUAACACACAUUUGGUUUUCUGUUUCUGCGUUAGUUUUCUACAGUUAAAGGUCUCCAGGUCUAUCCAUGUUCCAAAGAACACAGUCUUCUUUUUUAUGGCCACAUAGUAUUCCAUGAUGUUUGUAGUACCAAUUUUGUUUCUAUUAAAUCUUCUAUUUUAUUUAUUUUUGGAGAGAGGGUCUCACCCUAUUACCCAGGUUGAAGUGUGUUUGUGUGAUCUUGGCUUUCUGCAGGCUAACCUCCCUGGCUCAAGCAAUCCUUCUACCUCAUCACCUCCAAGUAGCUGGGACUCCAGGCUUGCACCAUUAUGCCUGGCAAUUUUUUCUUGAUAUAUUUUUUGUAGAGGUGUUUUUUUGCCAUAUUGCCCAGGCUGGUUUUGCACUUUUGAACUCAGGCAACCCACAUGCUUCAUCCUACCAAACUGUUAACAAUUACAGGCAUGAGCCACUGUGCCAUACCAUAUCAUAUUUUCUUUUUUUUUUUUUUGAGACGGAGUUUCGCUCUUGUUACCCAGGCUGGAGUGCAAUGGCGCGAUCUCGGCUCACCGCAACCUCCGCCUCCUGGGUUCAGGCAAUUCUCCUGCCUCAGCCUCCUGAGUAGCUGGGAUUACAGGCACGUGCCACCAUGCCCAGCUAAUUUUUUGUAUUUUUAGUAGAGACGGGGUUUCACCAUGUUGACCAGGAUGGUCUCGAUCUCUUGACCUCGUGAUCCACCCGCCUUGGCCUCUCAAAACUGAUUUUUUUAUGGUUAAGAUCAAACUGUAAUUUCCUUUUGGGAGCAGUAUCACAGCAGUGAAGCUGUGUUUUCUGUGUGCCUCAGCACAUCAUAAAAAUUUGUCCUAGUGCAGUUGAUGUUAAUGAUAUACUUGGUUAAACAGCUCUCUGACAGAUUUCUUUAUUUAGAGUUACUUAUUUUUCUCUUCAUUAUUAAGUAUCUUUAUGCUGCUCAUGUGCAUAAACCAUUACAUUUAAUCUGGCAGCUCUUUCUAUCUUACGUUUUCUUUGCAUAUAUCUGCCUUUGGAAAAUCGAGGCUCUCAUCUUUAUUUACAGGCCAGAAAAACUGGGAAAAUUACAGGCUCUUCCACUUACUGGAUGUAUGAAAAAAUAUUCUUGGGCCAAAACCAUUGACAUUACUGGGACCACUGACAUUUAGAGAUGUGAAAAUAGAAUUCUCUCUGGAGGAGUGGCAAUGCCUGGACACUGCACAGCAGAAUUUAUAUAGAGAUGUGAUGUUAGAGAACUACAGAAACCUGGUCUUCCUGGGUAUUGCUGUUUUUAAGCCAGACCUGAUCACCUGGCUGGAGCAAGGAAAAGAGCCCUGGAAUAUGAAGAGUCAUGUGAUGGUAGCCAAACCCCCAGACAAAAUCUCACUCUGAAACCCAGGCUGGAGUGCAGUGGCAUGGUCUCGACGCACUGAAACCUCCACCUCCCAGGUGUACGUGAUUCUCCCACCUCAGCUUUCUGAGUAGCUGGGACUAUAGGAACAUGCUACCAGACUCGACUAAUUUUUGUUUUUUCAGUAGAGAUGAAGUUUCACUACGUUGGCCAGGCUGGUCUCAAACUCCUGACCUCGUGAUUAUAUAUUUAAAAUAUCAAAAUCAUCUAUAGUUUAAAUGCUUCUUGAAAAUUUCUCAUUAGGAUCUCUUAGUUAUGGUUAUACUGCAUUUCCUCUGAAAUUCUGCCAUACAAUGUAUGACAACAAUUCAAAAUACCUGUCUUCCAUAGGUGCACGGUCAAAUAUUGCAGUUAUCUAGGCAAAUUCUUCCUUAAUAUUAUACCAGUAAUGCAAACCAGAUUUUGAGUCAACAUGUCUCUUAUUGUUCUGUAGUUCUAUAUUAGUGUGUUUUUUCAGUAUAGGUUCCUUAACAUUAAUUUAUUGUAAUUUUUUUUUACUUACAUGUUACAAUUUAAGACAUUUUGCAAUUGCUUGUACUUAAAAGUCAAUGUGGGGUUUAAUUAAGAGAUAAAUCAGGCAGAUGUCUAUCAAAAUCAGAUUAUAUAUGUGUGUUUAUUUAUCAAUGACCCCUAUUUUGGUUACAUCUUGUUUAUAUUCAUUCUUAGCUGAUUUUCAAUGGUUGUUUUAUUUUGUCUAAGUGAGUAAUCAUGGAAAUAGUCUUCUUUUCACCAUGUGUUUUAUAAUGAAUAUAUAGUUCCUUUGCGUUAGAGAAACACUUUUGUGAUUUCAGAGUAAUUUUUUUUUUUUUCUUUCUUGGAGACAGAGUCUUGCUCUGUUUCCCAGGCUGGAGUACAGUGGUGUGAUCUUGGUUCACUACAGCCUCUGCCUUUUGUGCUCAAGCAGUUCUCCUGCCUCAGCCUCCUGAGUGGCUAGGAUUACAGGCAUUCACCACCACACCUGCCUAUUUUUUUGUAUUUUUAGUACAUAUGGGGUUUCACUGUGUUGCCCAGGGUGGUCUCAAACUCCUGAGCUCAGGCAAUCUGUCCGCCUCAUCUUCCCAAAGUGCUAGGUUUACAGGCGUGAGCCA